AUGAAUCCCACCUCGGCGCCGGGUCCCGAUGGCCUCCCGGUGAAGUUCUUCCAGACCUUCUAGAACGUGAUUAAACCUGAGGUCAUGGCCAUCUUCGAAGAGUUCUACGUUGGGUCCAUUGACCUCGGUCGCCUAAACUUUGGGAUAAUCUCCCUCAUUCCCAAGGUGCAUGUCGCAUCUGACAUUCGCCAGUUUCGCCCGAUCACGGUCAUCAACGUGAUUUUCAGGAUUCUUGCAAAAGGGUACGCCAAUAUGGUGACCCUUCUUGCAGAUCGCAUUACUCACCCCAACCAGUCCGCCUUCAUCCGGGGCCGGUAUAUACUGGAUGGGGUCCUUGUCCUCCAUGAAGUACUCCAUGAGGUCCGCACCAAACAACUCAUGGCGGUCUUCUUGAAGAUUGAUUUCCAUAAGGCCUAUGAUACUGUUAGCUGGUCCUUCCUUCGGGAAGUGUUACUCCGGAAGGGCUUCGACGAUCGCUGGAUCACCAGAGUUAUGCAGAUGGUCUCCUGCGGUCGAACGGCUGUUAACAUUAACGGCGAGAUCGACCCUUUCUAUCAUAUACGUGAGCCAAAAUGCGCAAAUGGUCCCAGGCCUGGUAAGGCGACACCCAUGGGAAUACCGUGCGUGAGGCUGCAAAGUGUUAUGAGGUGUUACAUGCUAGAUUGGUGUGGCAUAUGA
rnacentral:rRNA from 1 species